rnacentral:rRNA from 1 species
GAUGAACGCUGGCGGCGUGCCUAAUACAUGCAAGUCGAGCGAACAGACGAGGAGCUUGCUCCUCUGACGUUAGCGGCGGACGGGUGAGUAACACGUGGAUAACCUACCUAUAAGACUGGGAUAACUUCGGGAAACCGGAGCUAAUACCGGAUAAUAUAUUGAACCGCAUGGUUCAAUAGUGAAAGACGGUUUUGCUGUCACUUAUAGAUGGAUCCGCGCCGCAUUAGCUAGUUGGUAAGGUAACGGCUUACCAAGGCAACGAUGCGUAGCCGACCUGAGAGGGUGAUCGGCCACACUGGAACUGAGACACGGUCCAGACUCCUACGGGAGGCAGCAGUAGGGAAUCUACCGCAAAGGGCGAAAGCCUGACGGAGCAACGCCGCGUGAGUGAUGAAGGUCUUCGGAUCGUAAAACUCUGUUAUUAGGGAAGAACAAAUGUGUAAGUAACUAUGCACGUCUUGACGGUACCUAAUCAGAAAGCCACGGCUAACUACGUG